rnacentral:lncRNA from 1 species
GGUACGAAAACCCGGAAUUCUCACCGUUACCAUUUUGUAUACUAUGACGCAAUACCAUGGACGCUCACGAGCUGGCGAUGGAAUUUCAAUUUUUAAAACUAACAGCAAGAAUGGAAACAGUCAGAGAUAUAUGGUAUAAACAACUCUGCUUGUUCAAACUGAUGGUCAAACCGAUGAACAGAUAAAUGGAAAUAGAUAACUUGUAGAUUAACUGGAAGAAACCGGGGAACGAUUGAAAUGAAAGUCAACGCAACGAAAGUGUUUUUGUUUUGAUGAGUGACUUGGAAAGGUAAAAAUAAAUUUAUCAUUCACAUUUUUUAAAUGGAUAAGCAGAAAGAUGUAAGCAUUAAAUUAUCUCCGUGUCGGCCAUAUACCGCCACACCAUGCACAUCGUCCAUUAGUCCGAGAUUACUCUGACGUCCAACACGGCAACAGCUGUUUUGCCAGACAAGCUGGGACCGUGGGACGUCCCCAGCUUUUCUGGCAAAACACCCGUUGUACGGCCCCAGCUUGUCUGGCAAAAUAGCCGUUAGACGUCAGAGUAAUCUCAGACUCAUCUCCAUACUCUGUAAAGACAUCUUCCAUACUUCAUGUACUUCAAGUUUUAGUUUCAUUGAGCAUGUUCAGUUUAUGGCAGAUUUUACAAUAAGAAGGAUUAUUGUUUUUUUGUACCAUCAAAAAAGCAAUUGCUGAAACUGUGAAACAGACUGUGUAAUGGAAGUAAUGCAUUUUAUGUUAUUGAAUAAAAUGUGUCUUUCUGAGUAAAUAAAAAUAAAAAUUACUCUGUGUUGGUUUUGUUUUGGAAUAUUGGACAUAUAGACAUCAUGACCUACUUUACUGACAUCCAGCUUAUUUGGAGUGGAAUUUUGAAGUAUUAUUUAUAAGUUGAGCCUUAUCACAUGGACUUAUAUUUUAAUAAAAAGUCUUCUUUUGUGUUUUAAUCAUAACUUUAAGGCAGUUUUAUUGUAAAGGUUAAAAAGGUAAUUUAAUAAUAUGUUUUAACGUCACGUUUUCCUCCAUUGUGGUAUGUCACGAUCGCAUUUUCUUGUUGGUUCUCAGACAGGCAUUGUAGUUAUUUUUAUCCGGGUUUUAUAAAUAAUUGAAAUAGCAAUCAUAUUAAAUUUGGAUGACGUAAGGGUCAAAGGACUUGAGGAAUCAAUAUCAUUGGCUGUUUUAUUUUUUGCGAACGUUACUACUUGAGGUUUCCGUCAAAUCAGUGCUCACGUAGUCCAACAUAUAUUUAAUCGUAACUCUCCUGUAUAGGAGUUACGAUAUCGCCCUUUGCAGAAAUUAGAUUCGGAGUCAGUUCUUCACGCGCGGUAGCCAAGAACGGUUAGUUGUAUGUAAUCGUUACAAGAUACCUAUGGUAUUCCGUCACAACAAGACGUGCGGUAACAAAAGUAAUGUUUAUGUAGAUGUUAUAAUGUUAUAUUACGAAGGUUUCAUGUGAUUCUUGAUAUAAACACACCUGGAAUCCUUCGUAUAGAAAAUCUAACAGACUGUAAAUUUUAUUUACUUCAGCAAUAUAUUAACAUCACUGUGUGCAUACAUUUGAACUUUAAAGAUGUGUUGCUCAUGUUACAUGUCAAUGUCCUAACGUUACUAAUUUUUGUUGCGUCACGUUACAACAUGAAAUAGGGAAACCAGAAAACACAAUACUGUAAAUCUGCCUUAUAUCAUAAAAUAUAAUAAUACAACACUAUCCGACAUAUGAAUGGUAUGUUUGUAUCUGGGAAAAGGGUAUCCGUUGUUACUAACUAAAUUUUUAUAGUACAAAUGUGCCAAAAAAUAGGGUCGCUGUUUCAUGCCCUGCUGGUUAGAACGGGGUCCCUUUUCAUGUCCUGCUUGUAAGAACAGGGUCGCUUUUUCAUGACAUUCUGGUGAGAACAGGGUCUUUUUUAUACAAAGUAUUUGUCUUCUAGGGGGGAGGAGGGUUGGAGUGGUCCUGAUUUCGAAAUCCCGAACAUAAAAACAUGAAAUCCAAAGGGGUGUGUCUUUUCAACACCAAAAACACCACCAAACACCCUGAAAACCAUUGACCACUAAGAAAAACUGUGAUAUAUACAAUAAAACGAUAAAACAAAUUAAAUUACUUAUAAUUUAAUCAACUUUUAGAUUUUUUAUGUUAAAAUCAAUAGUUAAUAUUAAACAGAUACAUGUACAAAAUGUAUAUCAUGUUAAAAGGAGGGGUGUUUAUGAAAAAUGCCAGUCGAGAGAAUGUUUAAUUUCAUGAGCCAUAAGGCGAGGGAAAUUCAUUCUCAAGACUGGUAUUUUUCGCAAAUACCCCUCGUUUUAUUCAAUAAUGAUAAAGUUUUUGAAAGUCGCCAGAACCUGCUAUAGCAUUUUACUCAGAAGGAAUGGUUUUUUAUAUAAUUGAUUAUGCUGUAUUUUAAAGAUUCAUAAGCAAAUAUAUAUUAUAUAUAAUAUGUACAAUAUCUUAUUGUUUUUUAGUAGUAUUGAUUAUACAGUCUCUUUGUUUAGGGGCCAGCUGAAGGACGCCUCCGGGUGCGGGAAUUUCUCGUUACAUUUGAGACCUGUUGGUGACCUUCUGCUGUUGUUUUUUCUAUGGUCGGGUUGUCUCUUUGAUACAUUCCCCAUUUCCAUUCUCAAUUUUAUCUCAUAAAUCUUUUAAGAUUGGCACAUACAAUGUGAAUUUAAAGUUUGUUGUUAUACAUGUAUGUUUUAUGUACCUGUAUGAAUAUUUUAUUGUGUAAUGAAUGUAAUUGUACAAAAUGUAUGUGGUGAGACUUAAAUAAAAUAUUUGAAUCUUGAAUAUUGAAAGCAAGACACAAAAGAAUUUUUACGGUGUAGGAAAUAAGUAUAUACAAGUCACUUUAUAAAGGGGGGAUGCUAUGUUAUUAUACUAUUUUUUUCAUGUCAUUUUCAUUUUGGAAAGGCAGAUCAUUAAUCGUGUGGCUGUAAUUCUAAAGAAAUUAAAAAUUUGGGCAUUAGAUUGUUUGAUAGACAUGAUAGAGUAAAAUCAUUUAAUGUAUAGAUAUUCCCCAUUUCCAUUCUCAAUUUUAUUAUCUAUAGGUGUAAUAAAGUCAGAACUGACAGAAUACAGCACAAAAUCGUGAUACAUACAAUGUAUAUACUUGCUGUCUGGUGUGAGCCAAGGCUCUGUGUUGAAGGCCGCACCUUGACCUAUAAUGGUUUACUUUUAUAAAUUGUUACUUGGAUGGAGAGUUGUCUCAUUGGCACUCAUACCACAUCUUCCUAUACAUAUGUACAUAUAACACAAAAAAACAAAUAUCCAUAGGUCAAUGUAUGAUUUUCAUUGAACAAAUUUAACAUCUUUGUAUAACUUCAAAUUUCAAAUUCCUUAAUUAAUAUCAUGUUUUUUGCCCAAAGAUUGGCAUUAAUUUAUUUAUUAAUCAAAACAAAAUCAGAGAUGCAAUAUAACCACUUUCUUUCAUAAAACUAUCAUAUUGAUCAUAGUGAUUUGAUGGCUGACAUGCAUAAAAAUAGAACAUUAGUGUGAAAUGCAAGAUUUGUCAAUUAUUUUAAAAACCUUUAUAACAAAGAAAAUCUGAUAGAGGCAGAACUGUCAGACAACUUCUAAUAGGAUUUGUAGCCCUGAAAUGACAAAUUUGACCUUUGUUUUGGUUUUUGUCUAUUACACAUGCAUGUAUCUGUAUUUAAAAAACUUUAAAACAGUAUAGAUUGAGAGAAAUUUUAAAUUGCAAAAAAUUGAAAAAUGAUCAGCAAGACAAGUUCUAAAAAUAAUAAAAUUGAGUUCGGAAAUAGGGAAUGUGUCAAAGAGGCAACAACUCAAACGUGUUAAUGUUAAGUUUAUGUGACAGUUUUUGUCGAGCCUGCAACUUUUGUUGCAGAAAGCUCGACAUAGGGAUAGUGAUCCGGCGGCAGCGUUAGCUACUUUUUUAAAGCUUUAUAUUUUAGAGGGUGGAAGACCUGGAUGCUUCAUACUUUGUAUAUAGAUGCAUGUUACGAAGUUUCCGUCAGUCACAUGUCAAAUGUCUUGACCUCUUUUCAUGGUUCAGUGACCACUUGAAAAAAAGUUCAGAUUUUUUGUAAUGUUGAAUUCUCUCUUAUUAUAAGUAAUAGGAUAAUUAUAUUUGGUAUGUGCGUACCUUGCAAGGUCCUCAUGCCCGUCAGACAGUUUUCACUUGAAUCGACCUCAUUUCAUGGAUCAGUGACAAGGUUAAGUUUUGGUGGUCAAGUCCAUACUCAGAUACUAUAAGCAAUAGGUCUAGUAUAUUCGGUGUAUGAAAGGACUGUAAGGUGUACAUGUCCAACUGGCAGUGUCAUCUGACCUUGACCUCAUUUUCAUGGUUCAGUGGUUAUAGUUAAGUUUUUGUGUUUUGGUCUGUUUUUUUUCUCAACUUUAUGCAAUAGAUCUACUUAUUUGGUGGUAUGGAAAUGAUUGUAAGAUGUACAUGUCUAGCGGGCAGAUGUCACGACCUUGACCUCAUUUUAAUGGUUGAGUGUCAAUAAGUUUUUGAGUUUUGGUCUUUAUCUAAUACUAUAUGCAUAGGUCAACUAUAUUUGGUGUAUGGAAAUAUUUUAUGAUCUAUAUGUCAGUCCCCCAGGUUUUAUUUGACCUCGACCUCAUUUUCACGGUUCAUUGCUCAGUGUUAAGUUUUUGUGUUUUGGUCUAUUUUUCUUAAACUAUAAGUAAUAGGUCAACUAUAUUUGUUGUAUGGAAGCAUUGUUAACUGUACUAUGUCUGCCUGGCAUGGUUCAUCUGACCUUGACCUCAUUUUCAUGGUUCAUUGGUCUUUGUUUUGUUAUCUUGGUUAAUGCUAAGUUUAUGUGACAGUUUUUAAUAAAGCUUUAUACUUAGGACUAUCAACAUAAUAUCAAUAAUUUGUAAAAGAAGGCGAGACAUUUCAGCGUGUGCACUCUUGUUGACAUAGGAGAAAUUUUUUAAGAUUUGUUAAAAUUCAUGAUUAUAAUUAGGUCAGUUUAAAAGAAAGCAAGAAAUAACUAACCAUAAACUUGUCAAUAAUACUUCUUAUUGGUUGAAGUAAGAUAUGUACUUCUCAUUUCCAAGGAGAUUAUAUAUUAACCAAGAGAAGCACAUAAACUUUGGCCUUGUCCGCAGUCAAUAUAUUUCUCUUGAUAUAACUUUUUGUGUAGUUUUAAAAGUUGACUAUGAAAUAAUCACUUAAAAUGACGGGUGAUUUUUUACUAAUCAUAGGGACAUAAGAUGGGUACAUAAUCCUUAAAUCAGUAAAUUAUAAUAAAAUCAAUGUUUUAAUUGUUUUAAUUUCAGAGGUCAUUUCUCCACAAAAACAUACAUAAUAGCGAUAAAGAAAAGGGGAAAAUAUUACAGAGACAGUACAUGGACACCAGCAUGAGCAAGUAAAGAUGAGGUAUUAUGUUAUAAAGCUAUAAAUGUUUUAUUAAGUUGUGACCUCAACCAAUCAAAUUAUAUCACCAC